rnacentral:rRNA from 1 species
GAUGAACGCUGGCGGCGUGCCUAAUACAUGCAAGUCGAGCGAACGGACGAGAAGCUUGCUUCUCUGAUGUUAGCGGCGGACGGGUGAGUAACACGUGGAUAACCUACCUAUAAGACUGGGAUAACUUCGGGAAACCGGAGCUAAUACCGGAUAAUAUUUUGAACCGCAUGGUUCAAAAGUAAAAGACGGUCUUGCUGUCACUUAUAGAUGGAUCCGCGCUGCAUUAGCUAGUUGGUAAGGUAACGGCUUACCAAGGCAACGAUGCAUAGCCGACCUGAGAGGGUGAUCGGCCACACUGGAACUGAGACACGGUCCAGACUCCUACGGGAGGCAGCAGUAGGGAAUCUUCCGCAAUGGGCGAAAGCCUGACGGAGCAACGCCGCGUGAGUGAUGAAGGUCUUCGGAUCGUAAAACUCUGUUAUUAGGGAAGAAUAUAUGUGUAAGUAACUGUGCACAUCUUGACGGUACCUAAUCAGAAAGCCACGGCUAACUACGUGCCAGCAGCCGCGGUAAUACGUAGGUGGCAAGCGUUAUCCGGAAUUAUUGGGCGUAAAGCGCGCGUAGGCGGUUUUUUAAGUCUGAUGUGAAAGCCCACGGCUCAACCGUGGAGGGUCAUUGGAAACUGGAAAACUUGAGUGCAGAAGAGGAAAGUGGAAUUCCAUGUGUAGCGGUGAAAUGCGCAGAGAUAUGGAGGAACACCAGUGGCGAAGGCGACUUUCUGGUCUGUAACUGACGCUGAUGUGCGAAAGCGUGGGGAUCAAACAGGAUUAGAUACCCUGGUAGUCCACGCCGUAAACGAUGAGUGCUAAGUGUUAGGGGGUUUCCGCCCCUUAGUGCUGCAGCUAACGCAUUAAGCACUCCGCCUGGGGAGUACGACCGCAAGGUUGAAACUCAAAGGAAUUGACGGGGACCCGCACAAGCGGUGGAGCAUGUGGUUUAAUUCGAAGCAACGCGAAGAACCUUACCAAAUCUUGACAUCCCUUGACAACUCUAGAGAUAGAGCCUUCCCCUUCGGGGGACAAAGUGACAGGUGGUGCAUGGUUGUCGUCAGCUCGUGUCGUGAGAUGUUGGGUUAAGUCCCGCAACGAGCGCAACCCUUAAGCUUAGUUGCCAUCAUUAAGUUGGGCACUCUAAGUUGACUGCCGGUGACAAACCGGAGGAAGGUGGGGAUGACGUCAAAUCAUCAUGCCCCUUAUGAUUUGGGCUACACACGUGCUACAAUGGACAAUACAAAGGGCAGCGAAACCGCGAGGUCAAGCAAAUCCCAUAAAGUUGUUCUCAGUUCGGAUUGUAGUCUGCAACUCGACUACAUGAAGCUGGAAUCGCUAGUAAUCGUAGAUCAGCAUGCUACGGUGAAUACGUUCCCGGGUCU